rnacentral:rRNA from 1 species
AUUGAACGCUGGCGGCAGGCCUAACACAUGCAAGUCGAACGAGUGGCGGCCGUGUGAGUACUGUUCGGAAAACUGCCUGAUGGAGGGGGCUAAAUACUGGAAACGGUAGCUAAUACCCUAUACCAUCGGAUGUGCCCAGAUGGGAGUAGCUAGUAGGUCUGGUAAAGGCUCACCUAGGCGACGAUCCCUAGCUGGUCUGAGAGGAUGACCAGCCACACUGGAAUUGAGACACGGUCCAGACGCCUACGGGAGGCAGCAGUGGGGAAUAUUGCACAAUGGGCGCAAGCCUGAUGCAGCCAUGCCGCGUGUAUGAAGAAGGCCGUCGGGUUGUAAAGUACUUUCAGCAGGGAGGCGUUACCCGCAGAAGAAGCACCGGCUAACUCCGUGCCAGCAGCCGCGGUAAUAC